CCUACGGGAGGCUGCAGUGAGGAAUAUUGGUCAAUGGGCGCGAGCCUGAACCAGCCAAGUCGCGUGAGGGAUGACUGCCCUACGGGUUGUAAACUUCUUUUAUAAGGGAAUAAAGUGAGGCACGUGUGCCUUUUUGUAUGUACUUUAUGAAUAAGGAUCGGCUAACUCCGUGCCAGCAGCCGCGGUAAUACGGAGGAUCCGAGCGUUAUCCGGAUUUAUUGGGUUUAAAGGGAGCGUAGAUGGGUUUUUAAGUCAGUGGUGAAAGUUUGCGGCUCAACCGUAAAAUUGCAAUUGAUACUGGCAGCCUUGAGUACAGUUGAGGCAGGCGGAAUUCGUGGUGUAGCGGUGAAAUGCUUAGAUAUCACGAAGAACCCCGAUUGCGAAGGCAGCCUACUAAACUGUCACUGACAUUGAUGCUCGAAAGCGUGGGUAUCAAACAGGAUUAGAUACCCUAGUAGUC
rnacentral:rRNA from 1 species